ensembl:lncRNA
AGUUAAUAUUAUAGCUAUAUUAUUAUUAUUAUUUUGUACCUUAAAAAAUAGACACAUACACCAAAGACAUUUGUGUGAGCCUUUAGACAGUCUGUCUGUGGUUGGUAUCAUUCACCAUCAAUGAGUCAGGGGUUGGCAUUCAAGGAUGAGUAGGGGGGAUUGUGUUCAGGCUUAAAAGACCUGAAAAGUUUGGUUUUUGACUCCUUUUACAUCCAUGAAACAGGACAUUUCAUACUGGAUGUACAGUAGUUGUACACUGUUGGAUAUCAAGUUCAAUCGAAUUCAUGGAGCGCUAUGUGCUUUUAUGUGUAUAUAUACAUUGCUUGUGCAUAUGCAUAUCUGUGUGUAUAUAUACAUGUAUCGCAUCAUGUCCAGACACAUUUUAAGCACUUCAGGCUGUCAUUUUUAAUGUUCUUAAAGCAAUGAAUGUUUGUGUGCAAAACACAGUAUUUUUAAGAAGGAUAGGCUAUAGUUUUUGCUUUUACUCUGAACUAGGUGGGCACAUUUCAAAAACUUGGAUGAGAAAAAGCUUGGGAAUUCUAGUGAAUAUUCAGCAAGACCCUCUUUCAAUGUCCAGGGUUCCAAUUCCCUCGUUUUUCUUGUCCCCCACCCCCAUCCUGCAAGUUAUUUCCUGCAAGGAAAACAGGAAACUCAUGUUCAUCAAAGGUCUAGGCUGAUUUUUUUUUUUUGGCAACUUAUAUUUAUUAUCUAUUGGAGUCAAUCUUAAAUCAGAAGCUUCUUCAGAAAAAAAUUUAAUCUUUAGGCCAGAAUAUAAGAGUUGGGUGCAUUUUUUUUUUAUGAUUAAGGCCUGGUUUCAAGAAAUAUUACCUGCUCGGCUGGGCUAAAUAAUGUUGUUGUCACCAGUUAAAGAUAAAUAAUUUGGGGGAAAGUGUUAAGAGAGUGGGAGUAAAGAAGAGAACAAUUAGGAGGUGGGGAUGGUAACACUAGUAAAAAUCCAUAAUAUUUUAAUUUACAGCCAAAACUCUUGAUGUAUAAGCUUGUAUGUAUCGAUUCAGAUGCAAAAAGGAAAAAAAAAACUUUGUUUUAUAAAUAUCAAAGUACAUGCUUAAAGCUGAAUUUUUACUAAUUUAUUCCACGGUAUUUAGCUUGCCUUGAACAGCUAAUAAGUUAUUCAUUUAUGUGCUUUUUAAAAUACAGAGCCUUAUUUUUACUGACGUGUUGGAAGUUUGCAAAAAUUGAAAAAAAGUUCUAGUAAUUGGAGAAAAUUAUUUAUUAGUAUUUUGUAAAAUAGUGAAGCUUUCAGCCCUAUGUCGAUUUGUGGAGUUUUAAAAAAAUUAAUUGUAGGAAAAUAAAAUAUCAGUGAGAAACCAAACACUGCAAAAUGUGGUUUAGCUCUUCUUGAAAAAUAUAUUAAAUCAGUACUCGGAAUAGGCUGUACGUAGGCAAAUCACGUCAACGUCAUCACCUGGCAGAUUUACUUACUACAUUCUAGAGGUCCACACUUUCUCAUGCAGGACAUGCAACAUGUACUGCCUGAGAGUGGAUUCUAAUUAAGUAUGGAAGGGAGAGCAUGCGAAAUUGGUACUUACUUCCUCGCUCUUAGCCAUUGACCAGGAAAUCACGCAGAUGGGGAAGGUGGGUGUGGCGAGGAAAGUUUUAAGGAGAGGUGUAGAUAGCCAUGUUCAACUUUACUAAUUUUUAGGAAGACCUUUGAGGGCCUUUUGAACUGCCUCCGAUUUGGUACCGGAACUGAUAGUGGAAUCUAUGAAAAUAGCGUGGAGAGCCAAAUCUUACUUCACUGUGCAAUGGCAGAGAUGGCGAGGGCAAUGGAGAAAACAAGAGGUUAAACAGACAGCUGAGACCUCUUGGUCAUUCCAUUCAUCUCAAAUGUGUAUGCCGUCUUUGCAAGCCCUUUAAGUUCUCACCAUAUUGAGGAUAAAAUGGGGUUUGAUUAGUGGCCACAGUAAUUAGAAAGAAAUUCCAUAUGACAAUAUUUUAAAGGGAUGAUGUAAUUUAAAUUAAGUUAAAUGAUUGAGUUUGUCUCAUCCACAAACUUUAGCCUUAUUUCAUUAAAUGUAUGUGGCCUUGAAAUAGAAUUAUAAAUUGCCAGUAUCUUUAAUAAUCUUGGAAGAUACGCAGCCUUGUAAACAACAACACUUUUAAGUAGCAGCAUGAGGCCAAAAGAAAAAGCUUUUAAAUUCUACGUAUUGGGUUCUUCAUAGUAUGUUUUCCUUGAAACAGGGUGGCUCUAUCUGCUCUUAGCAUCUCUCUACUUUUUCUCUAGGCCUAAUCUCUAGGCUCCUAAAAAUCUACCCACACCAAUCUUAAAAGCUCUGAAAAGCAUUUGUCCCCAAAUGUCUUUUAAGAAUGAUAAAUAUUUUGUAGGUUGGAUUGACAUUUUCUACUUUUUGCCCCCAAAAGUAAGGUGAAUUUCAGCACACUGAGUUGAGAUUUUUCUUGUCCCUGAAGACCAACCAAUUUCAUAUUUAUUUAAGAUUGAUUCCACACUCCUUUUUCAAGGAGAGUAUCUGCAUUCUCCUCUUAGGUCGAGCAAAUGAAUGUUUUCUCACCCCCGUGGCAUUGGGCCUCAAGGUGACUCUAAAAACAGAGAACGCAAAUGCUCAGUUGUAUUAAGCAUAGAUUCAAAUUAUCAUGUUCACUUGAAAAAAUGAUUUCCUGUGGGCCUUUUGGCAACUUUCCUUUUCAGUGUAGACAAAAACUUAGUCACCCUGAAAACCUACACAAUAAACGAAACUUGUAGAUGUGGGCAGAAGGUUUGGGGGUGGACAUUGUAUGCGUUUAAAUUAAACCCUUUAUCAUUGAGAAGCUGUUGUAUGGGUCAGAGAAAAUGAAUGCUUAGAAGCUGUUCACAUCUUCAAGAGCAGAAGCAAACCACAUGUCUCAGCUAUAUUAUUAUUUAUUUUUUAUGCAUAAAGUGAAUCAUUUUUUCUGUAUUAAUUUCCAGUGGGUUUUACCCUCUAUUUAAAUGCUUUGAAAAACAGUGCAUUGACAAUGGGUUGAUAUUUUUCUUUAAAAGAAAAAUAUAAUUAUGAAAGCCAAGAUAAUCUGAAGCCUGUUUUGUUUUAAAACUUUUUAUGUUCUGUGGUUGAUGUUGUUUGUUUGUUUGUUUUUAUUUUGGUUUUUUUUUUUUUUGCAUACUACAUGCAGUUCUUUAACCAAUGUCUGUUUGGCUGAUGUAAUUAAAGUUGUUAAUUUAUAUGAGUGCAUUUCAACUAUGUCAAUGGUUUCUUAAUAUUUAUUGUGUAGAAGUACUGGUAAUUUUUUUAUUUACAAUAUGUUUAAAGAGAUAACAGUUGGAUAUGUUUUCAUGUGUUUAUAGCAGAAGUUAUUUAUUUCUAUGGCAUUCCAGCGGAUCUUUUGGUGUUUGCGAGGCAUGCAGUCAAUAUUUUGUACAGUUAGUGGACAGUAUUCAGCAACGCCUGAUAGCUUCUUUGGCCUUAUGUUAAAUAAAAAGACCUGUUUGGGAUUUAUUUUUUUAUUUUUAUUUUCAUUUCACGUCUUUCUGGUUUUCCAAGAUCAACUUUGCACACGUAUUGCUUCAACCCCUUUGCUGGGGGAUCCUUUCGUUUCUACCGUCUCUAUCUGGGAGAGCAUGAGAAACAGACUGAAUGGGAGAGAGAGGACAAAGCUAGAGUGAGAGAGCUCAAACAGAAGAAGAAAAUGUAUUGCUGUGGCAGAGCCACUUUAUGAAAACAGUCUGGACAGAGGACUCGAGAGUGGUCUCCAGGCUUAACACUACCUAGGGAGAAGGAUGCCCUCGUGACUCCUUGAAAGAGGAAUGGACAGCAAAUCAAUGUCCCGGCAAGCCAAGUGUCAAUAGAUUUAUUCUUCUGCGGAGUGGAGCCAUUGAUACCUGUUCUGCUUGUAUGGCUGCAGUGCUGUGAAGGUGACCUCAUGUCAAAGUGCCUUCGUAAUUGAGGAACGGGAUAAUGAUAAGGAUGCUCUUUCCCUUUUCUUUAAACAAUAAACACAAUCUCCCAAGCCAUUAAUUUGUUUCUAACCUUAAUUUUUUUAGUUCAAUAAUUUAAUGUUGUACCUAAGACAUUCAAUAUGCCACUGUGAGAUCAAUUUAUGGUAAUAAAGCAUAGUCUGCUUGAAUAUAGUUUUUGAAGAAUGAG